CUUUUUAAAAUAAGCUCAAAUAAAUCAAGAGCAUAUUGCCAGGUGUGAUGGAUUGUGGGAAGCAGAAACAGUUGUGUUGUCUGCUCUAGGGAUGUAUGUGCUCAUGAUAUCGGAGUUUUCACACAGAAUCAGAUUGUACGAGAAUGUGGACUGUAUAUCUGGGUUGUGAGAAGAGAACCCAAUCCAGACUGGGGUUUUUUAAACUUUUUUUUUGGGACUGCCAGUUUUCAUGUCUACACAAUGAACCCAACAGACUCUGGCCAUGAGCUUCAAAUCCAGUCAGAACAGAGGAGCAUUCUACCAUUCGCCAUAACAAAUUCACCCAAGUUUGACAGGAAGUCAUCAAGGACAUGGAGGACAAGAAACAGCAUGACGGAAAUGAGAAUGAAAUGAAAAUCAAGAGGGCAAAAUGCAUCAGGUGCUGAGGAGGCCGCUCUGAAGCACAUCUCUCUGCUGUAUGAUGCUCUGAACCGCCGAGGGAUUCUCAGAGCUCAUCUCUAUCUCCUGACUCGCCGACAGCAAUGCCG